UACGGGGGGGGCAAGCGUUGUUCGGAAUUACUGGGCGUAAAGGGCGCGUAGGCGGCCUGCUAAGUCGAACGUGAAAUCCCCGGGCUCAACCCGGGAACUGCGUCCGAUACUGGCAGGCUUGAAUUCGGGAGAGGGAUGCGGAAUUCCAGGUGUAGCGGUGAAAUGCGUAGAUAUCUGGAGGAACACCGGUGGCGAAGGCGGCGACCUGGGUCGAGACUGACGCUGAGGCGCGAAAGCGUGGGGAGCAAACAGG
rnacentral:rRNA from 1 species